rnacentral:lncRNA from 1 species
GAACCCUGUUUCCCAGUCCCUGCUGGUGUGGCUCCGGGUUAGGGUUGGCUGCUAGAGAAGAGCCCACGAGACUCGGCAGGGGCACCUGGGCCCAGAGGCCGCUGCAGCUGGCGCCUUCGUUAGGCAUCCGCUGCUCACCUUGUGCGCAGGCGCAGCAGCGGAGCGCACUGCACUUCCGGAUGCCGUAGCCUCUCCUCCUUCCGCCUCCUAAACCAGGCACACAUGCGCCGUGCAGAGUAUCUGUAACUCUCAGAUACCUGUGAAGAGAGACCUCUGUGGCUUUCCGGUGCUGCGAGUUCAGGUUUGUCUUUAUGGACCUCAGUCUCUUCCUCCCGCUGCACAUCCCUUUCCUUCCUGACCCUGUGAGCGGCAGCAACUUCGAGCCUAAGGCAAGAUGCAGGACCAGCAGCCCAACGCUGACUUCGCCAGCUCCGCUCUGUGGCAGGAAGAAGGUUGAGACUGAGUCACUUCUGAGGGAAACGGAGGAUGUGAGAGUGUGGAGCUGGCAGCGCAGGGGCAGGGCCGAGCCUAACCUCAUGGGCUUGAGUCUCUACCUCGGCUUCUGUAGAACCAAGCGUCUUGCGCAGACAACUAGGAGCGCAGGAGUGCUGCUGACGCAACAGGAGACGGGACAGACACUCCGGUGUCCACGCUCUGUGGCGGCCUGCCACCAUCGCCAGACACGUGCUUCUCCCCACGAGUGCACUCGGUGCUGCUGCUCCUUCUGUUCCCCUCACCUAGAAGUGCUGUUCUGGCUGACGUGGGCGCUCCAUUUGUGUCCUCGCUCCUCUGUAUGGACGUGCUCGUUUCUGCAGCUGUUCUGAUGCUGUGUCCUCUGUGCCUGCCCCAUGAAGACACUGCCUUGCACUCUUCACUGUUACUUCAGGUGCGUGAAUCUUGUCUCCUCGCUAGCGGCCGAGCAUCACUUAACACAUGGCUUUUUAU